UCCAAAUAUGUUUGUGUACAUUACUAUCUUAGUGUACGCAAGUAGUUUAAUCAGUAUGGAGCUAAACAUCACUGGAGAUGGGUUGAAUAUCCCAGAGAGACCCGUGUCGAGAGUCCAAAGUCCCGAGUCCAGUGUCCCGAGUCCAGUGUCCCGAGUCCAGAUGACAGUAGUCCAAAGAGUCUACACCAAGUCCAGAGUCCAGAGGCGUGAGUCCAGUGUCGAGUGUCUAGAGGCGAGAGUCCAGAGUCCGAUAUCCAGAGAUGAGAUUGGAAUCCAUCCUCAAUUAAACCAAGAGAUAGUGCAGUAAAAAUUGAAACCAUUGAAAUACAUAUUUAAUAUUGU